UGAUUCUGUGGGUGGUGGU
rnacentral:misc_RNA from 1 species